ensembl:lncRNA
CCAUUGUUUCUGUGAAUAAUUGAGGUCUGAAAAGGGACAUUUGAAAGACAGUGCAGGCAUAUGUUAUAUUCAAUAUGGGUUCCUAGGAUCAUAUUACAAACAAAAAAAACAACAAUAUUCGUAUAAAACGAGUUACAUAUUUUUAAUUAAUUAUCCCUCCCCCCAAAAAUCCAUAAUCACAUAAAACAAUUCAAAACCAAUUUCUCACUUUUCAAUGUUUUAAGAUGUUGAGGCAUACAGCACUAUCUUAAUAAAUCACUUUUCCUACAGUCAGACAACUACUUAGAGUUGAAAAUCUAAUUAUAUUAUUGGACAGGGUGUCAUUAAGUACACUUGUUCACAUUAUUUCCUGUAUGUGGCACAAAAAUAACAAAUAAUAUAUCCACUUAAGCCCACGGCUAGGGCCAUGGUAAUAUAUCCACUGAAUAGAGGCCCAUGGCUAGGGCCAUGGUAAUAUAUCCACUGAAUGGAUGCCAUGGUAAUAUAUCCACUGAAUGGAGGCCAUGGUAAUAUAUCCACUGAAUGGAGGCCAUGGUAAUAUAUCCACUGAAUGGGGGCCAUGGUAAUAUGUCCACUGAAUGGGGGCCAUGGUAAUAUAUCCACUGAAUGGGGGCCAUGGUAAUAUAUCCACUGAAUGGAGGCCAUGGUAAUAUGUCCACUGAAUGGAGGCCAUGGUAAUAUAUCCACUCAAUGGAGGCCCAUGGCUAGGGCCAUGGUAAUAUAUCCACUGAAUGGGGGCCAUGGUAAUAUAUCCACUGAAUGGAGGCCAUGGUAAUAUAUCCACUGAAUGGAGGCCCAUGGCUAGGGCCAUGAUAAUAUAUCCACUGAAUGGAGGCCAUGGUAAUAUAUCCACUGAAUGGAGGCCAUGGUAAUAUAUCCACUGAAUGGAGGCCCAUGGCUAGGGCCAUGGUAAUAUAUCCACUUAGAGGACCAUGGCUAGGGCCAUGGUAAUAUAUCCACUUAGAGGACCAUGGCUAGGCCCAUGGUAAUAUAUCCACUUAGAGGACCAUGGCUAGGCCCAUGGUAAUAUAUCCACUUAGAGGACCAUGGCUAGGCCCAUGGUAAUAUAUCCACUUAGAGGACCAUGGCUAGGCCCAUGGUAAUAUAUCCACUUAGAGGACCAUGGCCAGGGCCAUGGUAAUCUGAAAUAUUUGAAAAAUAAAAUAAAUGAUCACAGCACACACUUUAAGUGAUCAUCCCCACACAGAGUCAGCUUCUCUCCAGUGGAGAACAGAGUAACCAGCCUAAAGACUAAAGAUCAUUUCCCUAUGAUCAAAUUAAAACGUUUUUUAAAAAAUUUUUUAAAUACCCUCUAAGAACGGCUCUAUUCAUUCUUUCCAUCAACUGAAUUUCUGACAACUGAUUCAUUUAGUCUGGAUUUAUGUUGGGGGGUAAAACCAAGGAAACAUGACACACUCACAAGAUGGAUGACAGCCUUUGGCUUUACCAUUCCAAAUCACAAAUCUCAACACAUCGAAUCUCUAUCCAUGUGCGUAUCAGCUACCAGUAGCAGAAUGACAAGACAAACUUCCACUGGAAUCUCUCGCGGGGCACAGCGCUUGUUUUGUGUCCGGGGGGGGGGCAUCUACGGUCUUCUAGGCGGAGCCGACCUGUGUGACGUGGCGUCUCCGAUCUUCUAGGGGAGCCGACCUGCGUGUGUGUUUCUGGUCUAGGGGGAGACAGAGCUGGCCUCCUGGUAGAUGAAGGAGUAGAGGCUGAUGUCAGGACGGCGGGUGAAGCAGCUCUGACACAUUGAGCUGUAGUACUGACCCAGCAAACUGUACAGAGCCCCUAUGAGACAGAGACAGAGACUAUGUCAGAUACAUCAUUCAUUCACCAAACAACCACAGCAGAGAAUCUAGCAGAGGGCAAAUAUUGACAAAUAGUAUUGAAAUUCUUAUUGAUUUUACAGUUUGUGAUUUAAUAAAACUAAUUGCUUACCAAAAUUACAUAAUUCUAUAACCAAUA